rnacentral:rRNA from 1 species
CUUGACCUCAAAUCGGGUAGGACUACCCGCUGAACUUAAGCAUAUCAAUAAGCGGAGGAAAAGAAACUAACAAGGA